UGCAAGUCGAGCGAAUGGAUUAAGAGCUUGCUCUUAUGAAGUUAGCGGCGGACGGGUGAGUAACACGUGGGUAACCUGCCCAUAAGACUGGGAUAACUCCGGGAAACCGGGGCUAAUACCGGAUAACAUUUUGAACUGCAUGGUUCGAAAUUGAAAGGCGGCUUCGGCUGUCACUUAUGGAUGGACCCGCGUCGCAUUAGCUAGUUGGUGAGGUAACGGCUCACCAAGGCAACGAUGCGUAGCCGACCUGAGAGGGUGAUCGGCCACACUGGGACUGAGACACGGCCCAGACUCCUACGGGAGGCAGCAGUAGGGAAUCUUCCGCAAUGGACGAAAGUCUGACGGAGCAACGCCGCGUGAGUGAUGAAGGCUUUCGGGUCGUAAAACUCUGUUGUUAGGGAAGAACAAGUGCUAGUUGAAUAAGCUGGCACCUUGACGGUACCUAACCAGAAAGCCACGGCUAACUACGUGCCAGCAGCCGCGGUAAUACGU
rnacentral:rRNA from 1 species